GGCUACAUAGUUCAGUGGUAGAACGCUUGUCUCAUGAGCAAGAGGUCCUGGGUUCAACUCCCAGUGUAGCCA
rnacentral:tRNA from 1 species